UGAACCUUCGGGGAACGUUAAGGGCGUCGAGCGGCGGACGGGUGAGUAAUGCCUAGGAAAUUGCCCUGAUGUGGGGGAUAACCAUUGGAAACGAUGGCUAAUACCGCAUGAUGCCUACGGGCCAAAGAGGGGGACCUUCGGGCCUCUCGCGUCAGGAUAUGCCUAGGUGGGAUUAGCUAGUUGGUGAGGUAAUGGCUCACCAAGGCGACGAUCCCUAGCUGGUCUGAGAGGAUGAUCAGCCACACUGGAACUGAGACACGGUCCAGACUCCUACGGGAGGCAGCAGUGGGGAAUAUUGCACAAUGGGCGCAAGCCUGAUGCAGCCAUGCCGCGUGUGUGAAGAAGGCCUUCGGGUUGUAAAGCACUUUCAGUCGUGAGGAAGGUAGUGUAGUUAAUAGCUGCAUUAUUUGACGUUAGCGACAGAAGAAGCACCGGCUAACUCCGUGCCAGCAGCCGCGGUAAUACGGAGGGUGCGAGCGUUAAUCGGAAUUACUGGGCGUAAAGCGCAUGCAGGUGGUUUGUUAAGUCAGAUGUGAAAGCCCGGGGCUCAACCUCGGAAUAGCAUUUGAAACUGGCAGACUAGAGUACUGUAGAGGGGGGUAGAAUUUCAGGUGUAGCGGUGAAAUGCGUAGAGAUCUGAAGGAAUACCGGUGGCGAAGGCGGCCCCCUGGACAGAUACUGACACUCAGAUGCGAAAGCGUGGGGAGCAAACAGGAUUAGAUACCCUGGUAGUCCACGCCGUAAACGAUGUCUACUUGGAGGUUGUGGCCUUGAGCCGUGGCUUUCGGAGCUAACGCGUUAAGUAGACCGCCUGGGGAGUACGGUCGCAAGAUUAAAACUCAAAUGAAUUGACGGGGGCCCGCACAAGCGGUGGAGCAUGUGGUUUAAUUCGAUGCAACGCGAAGAACCUUACCUACUCUUGA
rnacentral:rRNA from 1 species